rnacentral:lncRNA from 1 species
GUGGUGACAUUAAAAAGUUGUUAAAAAAGAAAAGGGUUCAUUCUUUUUGAAACAGACUAAAAAGAAAAAUAGGUCAUUAUUUUAAAACGAAGGGAGUACAUAUAACACAAUCUUUAAAUUUUUACACAAACAUCUCUUAUAACUACAACCAACCAUCAAAAAAAAAAAUUAUUAUUUAUUUUUUAUGGUACAACAUCAUUUUUAAUUGUUACAGAC